CCUACGGGUGGCAGCAGUGGGGAAUAUUGCACAAUGGGGGGAACCCUGAUGCAGCAACGCCGCGUGGGUGAAGAAGUACUUCGGUAUGUAAAGCCCUGUCAGCAGGGAAGAAAAUGACGGUACCUGACUAAGAAGCCCCGGCUAACUACGUGCCAGCAGCCGCGGUAAUACGUAGGGGGCGAGCGUUAUCCGGAUUCACUGGGUGUAAAGGGAGCGUAGACGGCCAAGCAAGCCAGGGGUGAAAGCCCGGGGCCCAACCCCGGGACUGCCCUUGGAACUGCAUGGCUGGAGUGCGGGAGGGGCAGGCGGAAUUCCUGGUGUAGCGGUGAAAGGCGUAGAUAUCAGGAGGAACACCGGCGGCGAAGGCGGCCUGCUGGACCGCGACUGACGUUGAGGCUCGAAAGCGUGGGGAGCGAACAGGAUUAGAUACCCCGGUAGUC
rnacentral:rRNA from 1 species